rnacentral:rRNA from 1 species
GAUGAACGCUGGCGGCGUGCCUAAUACAUGCAAGUCGAGCGAACAGAUGAGGAGCUCGCUCCUUUGACGUUAGCGGCGGACGGGUGAGUAACACGUGGAUCACCUACCUCUAAGACUGGGAUAACUUCGGGAAACCGGUGCUAAUACCGGAUAAUAUAUUGUACGGCAUGGUUCAAUAGUGAAUGACGGUUUUGCUGUCACUUAUAGAUGGAUCCGCGCCGCAUUAGCUAGUUGGUAAGGUAACGCCUUACCAAGGCGACGAUGCGUAGCUGACCUGAGAGGGUGAUCAGCCACACUGGAACUGAGACACGGUCCAGACUCCUACGGGAGGCAGCAGUAGGGAAUAUUCGGCAAUGGGCGAAAGCCUGACGGAGCAACACCGCGUGGGUGAUGAAGGUCUUCGGGUCGUAAAACUCUGUUAUUAGGAAAGAACAAAUGUGUAAGAAACUAUGCAUGUCUUGACGGUACCUAAACAGUAAGCCACGGCUAACUACGUG